rnacentral:rRNA from 1 species
AUGGACGGUAAGCAAGCGAGCGAGGAUGAGCUGGAGGAGGCCUUCUACGUUUUUGACCGUAACGAGGAUGGGUUCAUAUGCGCCGGGGAGUUGUGGAAUGUGAUGAGGAGGCUAGGGUGGAAAGAAGGGGCGAUGUAUGAGGACUGUGUGAGGAUGAUCUGCGCCUUCGAUGAGGAUGGAGAUGGGAAGAUCAACUUCCUAGAGUUUAGAAGGAUGAUGGAGAAUGCCGUUAAAGUACCAUGUGUUUCGGUGUUUCAUUACUCUGCUCCCUUACUGUAA